UUGUGGCUAUAUCUCGUUGAAUCACCGGUUCUCGUAAGAUCACCGAAAUUAAGCAACGUUGAGCCUGGCCAAUAACUAGCGAGGUGGCCACUUAGGAAACCCAGGUGCUGUAAG